UUCCCAGCCAGCUCCUUUGAGGGCCUGAUAGUCUUUCUUCCCCGCCUUUCUGAGAAGCAGUCUACUGGGAAGAACAGGCUUGCGGGCUGGGUGAAUGGGCAGGUUGCUUGACUUCAGGAGUAACAAUGGUGUCUUUGUCAUGGGAUUGCCCCCUCGGUUGGGGGGGUGGGUUACAGGAGGAUAUUCAUGUAAAAUGCUAGCACACGAGUGGACACAGGCUUCUCUCUGGAGACUGGGGCGGGGGUGCACCUCUCCCCUUCGCAGACACGUCCGAGGACUGCUGCUGCAGAAAGAAGAGGCAGUACCCAGGGACAAACCACGUGCAAGGCCCCCAGCCCUAGGAGGGGCUGAGAGACCCUCAGGGCCUAUGCUUUGGUACAGACGUGUCACUAGCUAUGGCACCGGAAUCUGGCCGGGCUGUUUCCCGGCUGGAAGCUUUCCAUGGCUCCCCACUGCCUGCGGGGACAAAGUCCAGACUCUGUGGCCCGUGUGUAAGGCCCUCUGCCCAGGGUCUCAACUGUCCCCUCCAGCUCCUCCUCUGUGCUUCCCUCUAUUUGACCUCUGCCUCCUUCACCCAGCCAUCUCCCGCUCACAGGCUUUGACCCAGCAGGGGCUGGAUCUCUUGGGCAACUUGUCCCUGCCCCCAACUCCAGUCUAGAUGGGUUAGGGGCUGCCUCUGCGAGCUCACCAGGCGCAUCUCUCCUGGGACCCUUACCUACAUCGCCUGGUUACUGCCUGGUCUCUUGAUCAUCACCCAGCCAGGGAUAGCAACUGUGGGCUUGGCGUAUCUGAAAGAACGUUCGGUAAAGGAAGAAA
ensembl:lncRNA